UGUAAUUUAUCUCUUGAAUUUAUCCAAAAAUAUAUAAUUUGUAUUUUCUUUUUGUAUAUAAUUGAUAUCUGAAUUUAUAAUUCAUUUACACACUUUGAUACCUCUAUUCUGACAUCGUUAAUUUGUGAUGAGGACGCACAAGCAACCAAUCUUAUGGUGACACCCAUUUGUGAGGCCGAACUGCAUUUCAAGAAUUAACCUUUAGCAGCUAUGUCUAGAGCUACAGUUCCAUUCUUGUCUUUGCCCAAGCUUGAACAGUUUGGCCUUGGUAUAAAUUAGAUGAAAUUUUUGUAACAAUCCUGUCUUAAAUCAAUCAACUCAUGAACUCGCCAACAUUGAUUUGUCACUAUACUCAAUCCUAAGCUUUUUUUAGUGAUACUUACACUAGAAUUUUCGUAACACUUAAAACCUAAUGAUUAGUUUCAUUUACCAAAAAGAGGAAAAAAAAACUAUAAAUGAUUUAGGUGUAAUCUUCAUCUACAAAAUGUAGAUGGAUUGAUAUCAAAUUUCCAAUAAUAGAUGGAGCUUACAUGUAUUUUUUACUGCAUUACUACUUAAAUAAAGAUACGGAGUUGAAAGUGAAAGGGCUUUACAGGGUGGUAUUGUUAGAGAUGAUCAAGGAAUCAUCAGUCUUACAUUGUUAGUUGUUUGUCAAACUUUGGCUUGAUUUUGGAUACACUAUCAUCUUUCAAUCUUCGGGAGGGUUGGUAUAAACUCUGAAAUGCUUUUGCUUGGGACCCAAGGAGACAAAAGAGAAAAGCGUAUUGCCUGUGUGAAUGCCCAAAAUAAAGAUGGAGAGUCUAUGAUAAGCCAACUAUAAAAGAUACCAACGACCAUUAACAAAGACUUAGAUACAAGUCGACACUGGUUUGAGAAAUGGAAAGUUUGUCUGAAAUGCGAUUGCUUCGGACCCAAAACAGAAAGAGAGACGCUUUUAGCCUGUGUGAAUCAAAAGGGACAGUGUAUCAUACGUCAAGACUGAAAGGGGAAAAGGUCUCUUGACCUUGAAUGGGGCUAACAUAAAUUACUAUAAUACAAAGACUUCAACUUUGGCGUGAAACAUGGGUGAGAGACUUUUAAUAGUUAUUUUGAUCGUACAGGCAACUGCAAUUAACCUAUAUAUAGGGAGAUAAAAGCUUAUUGCCUGUUUGAAUGUCCAAGUCAA